rnacentral:rRNA from 1 species
UACGUAGGGUGCGAGCGUUGUCCGGAAUUAUUGGGCGUAAAGAGCUCGUAGGCGGUCUGUCGCGUCUGCUGUGAAAACUCAGGGCUUAACCCUGAGCUUGCAGUGGGUACGGGCAGACUAGAGUGCGGUAGGGGAGACUGGAAUUCCUGGUGUAGCGGUGGAAUGCGCAGAUAUCAGGAGGAACACCGGUGGCGAAGGCGGGUCUCUGGGGCCGAUACUGACGCUGGAGGAGCGAAAGCCGUGGGGAGCGAACAGG